rnacentral:rRNA from 1 species
UACGAAGGGUGCAAGCGUUACUCGGAAUUACUGGGCGUAAAGCGUGCGUAGGUGGUUUGUUAAGUCUGAUGUGAAAGCCCUGGGCUCAACCUGGGAAUUGCAUUGGAUACUGGCAGGCUAGAGUGCGGUAGAGGAUAGCGGAAUUCCCGGUGUAGCAGUGAAAUGCGUAGAGAUCGGGAGGAACAUCUGUGGCGAAGGCGGCCGGCUGGGGGCGCCCUGACGCUGAGGCGCGAGAGCGUGGGGAGCAAACCGG